rnacentral:tRNA from 1 species
GGACCUAUAGCUCAGUUGGUUAGAGCACCUGACUCAUAAUCAGGGGGUCCCUGGUUCAAGCCCAGGUGGGUCCACAA